UCACACCAUCGUCGUCAUCCUCCCUGAAACAACUAGCUCAGGCGACAGGCGCCAUGACCUCAAAGGUCAGCGGAGCACAGUCGGAGGCCAGCAGCCCAGCAUCAAGUGGCGAGCUCUCGACCUCUUCGAGCACGCUUGAAGCCGCUCUCCUCUCCUUCGCCAACCAAAGCUCCACCCCCAAAUCAAGAGAAAUGGGUUUCUCUCUUACUGGGCGGAGUUUUUUUUUUGUCUUUUCCUUUAUUUCCUUUUAUUGCUCAAAUGAAGCUUUCCUCCCGAAGGCUCAAGCUGUGUGUGGCGACGAGGAAGAGCACACCUGGUAAACUUGAUUAGCAUGUGAGAAUGCGAGCGAGCGUUGCAGGAAAUUUUUCCCUGAGCUCGGAGCACAUUUUUUCUUUCC
rnacentral:lncRNA from 1 species